UGACUUAUUGUUGGUACCUUCAAGUCUUUUAUAUUAAUCAACCCAUUGUAUGGACGUCUGUCUAUACAUAAAUCUACACACAGAUGCAUAUGAUCCAUUCUCAUACUAGUCUAUAUACACACACAUAUGCAUCUAUGUACAAAUUGUCUCAUACAUCCUAUACACUACCAUUUAUGUCUCUAGAGUGAUAAGGCUUCACAAUCAUGUAGAGAUGAGAGUUGUACUAUAUAACAAUCAAGCAAUAUUAACUAACCUACGUACAUAUACAUCUUCCUAAACCCGCAUCAUCAUCAUAGAAAUAUAUGUAGAUAAUUAAACCUUCUUGCACACUACCAUUUAUACGUUAUUGUCCUUCCCCCAAUCGCACCAAAACUUGGUGUUGUGACUUUUGUACCCUUUUUUCUUUCCCUCGA
rnacentral:lncRNA from 1 species